rnacentral:rRNA from 1 species
UCUACGGGUGGCUGCAGUGGGGAAUAUUGGACAAUGGGCGAAAGCCUGAUCCAGCCAUGCCGCGUGUGUGAAGAAGGCCUUCGGGUUGUAAAGCACUUUCAGUGGGGAAGAAAGCCUUGGGGCUAAUACCCUCGAGGAAGGACAUCACCCACAGAAGAAGCACCGGCUAACUCCGUGCCAGCAGCCGCGGUAAUACGGAGGGUGCGAGCGUUAAUCGGAAUUACUGGGCGUAAAGCGCGCGUAGGCGGUCUGAUAAGCCGGUUGUGAAAGCCCCGGGCUCAACCUGGGAACGGCAUCCGGAACUGUCAGGCUAGAGUGCAGGAGAGGAAGGUAGAAUUCCCGGUGUAGCGGUGAAAUGCGUAGAGAUCGGGAGGAAUACCAGUGGCGAAGGCGGCCUUCUGGACUGACACUGACGCUGAGGUGCGAAAGCGUGGGUAGCAAACAGGAUUAGAUACCCCUGUAGUC